UCCGCGCAUUCCCGCCGGGCCUGGGUUCCGCCGCCACGUGGUGGCCCUGCGCUCCGCGCUUACCGUAAAGCCUGGAGACGGUGCGCACCUCGGUUCCCCAGCUUGAGAGGAGGACCGCCCCUGUACCCACCUGGCUGCGCCGUCCCGCCCCAGUGCAGAACCCGCGCAGGCUCCGGCGUGUAGUAGGGAUCGCUGGUUUAGGUAACUAGAAGAGCUGAACUGCCGUGAAGUCCAGCAGGAAGGAGGGUGGCCAGCGCCCCUCCCGCCCCCCGUGUGUGCAAUGGUGGGGGGCUGCCCAACUCUGAAACCCCACAGAACCGAACAGGGAACCAUCAUGCCUCGCCAGCAGCCUUAGAGGCUGGAAAGGAGUCGCAGCCUUCCGGAUGUCAGGAAGUUGGCGACCAUAUGUAGGAAACAGAACAAGAGUGUGACCCAGGCCCCCACCUGCCAGGGGCUGAGAGGCAAAGAAUUUUUCAGAUGACUUUGUGCUGAAUCAGCUGGCUUCUCCUCGGCCUCCGGAGCCGUUCACGACCGUGAGACUUAAACUACAGAGAAACUGAGGUUGAAAUAAGCCCCCCCAUAAACCGCCCUCGGGCUUCCUCCUCGACUCUCCCUCUGCUUGCCCUGCAAAAGGGGGACCGGAUUUGAUUUUUAAAAGACAGACAGACGGGCACCAAUGAGGGCCCAGAAGUCAGCGCAGGGGUGAGGGGCAGAGGUCUGAGGGAGCCUUCUGCUGGGCCAUUGGUGGGAUCUCUGCCCAGGGCAGUCACCCCAUUGCCCAGCCAUUCUGCUCAGGCAAAGGGGGA